UAAGACAGAGGGUGCAAACGUUGUUCGGAAUUACUGGGCGUAAAGCGCGUGUAGGCUGCUUCGCAAGUCGGAUGUGAAAGCCCUGGGCUCAACCCAGGAAGUGCAUUCGAAACUGCAGAGCUGGAGUCCUGGAGAGGAAGGCGGAAUUCUCGGUGUAGAGGUGAAAUUCGUAGAUAUCGAGAGGAACACCGGUGGCGAAGGCGGCCUUCUGGACAGUGACUGACGCUGAGACGCGAAAGCGUGGGGAGCAAACAGGAUUAGAUACCCUGGUAGUCCACGCCGUAAACGAUGGGUGCUAGGUGUUGCGGGCUUUGACCCCUGCAGUGCCGUAGCUAACGCAUUAAGCACCCCGCCUGGGGAGUACGGCCGCAAGGCUA
rnacentral:rRNA from 1 species